rnacentral:rRNA from 1 species
UACGUAGGGUGCAAGCGUUGUCCGGAAUUAUUGGGCGUAAAGAGCUCGUAGGCGGUUUGUUGCGUCGGCUGUGAAAUCCCGAGGCUCAACCUCGGGUCUGCAGUCGAUACGAGCAAACUAGAGUGUUGCAGGGGAGACUGGAAUUCCUGGUGUAGCGGUGAAAUGCGCAGAUAUCAGGAGGAACACCGGUGGCGAAGGCGGCAUCCUGGACCGGUAUUGACGCUGAGGAGCGAAAGCCAGGGGAGCAAACGGG